GUUUUGAUGAAAGAGACACAAUCACGCUUUGGCUUGAGGCAUAGACAUCUUAGCCAAAACUAAAAUUAUUCGAAAGUCCUGGAGAGAUUCUGAGGACACACAAUGUCACAUCCUCACCGGAUUAUCCAUUUUAUUCUGUUUCACGGGAAUUGAGGCCAUGCAAUGUUUUCUCAAGCUAGCCAUCCGUGAUGGAGGAUCAUCCUACAAGGCACACACAAGGGAACAAAAGAGUUCUUCUCACCAAAGAUAUUGACUGACACUGUUGCUUAGGCUGGGUGGCCCAAGAUGGAGGAAAUAUUCAAAAGGGCAGAGGGGAAACUGGUCAGAUCAAAGGCAUCAAAUCCACACAGGAAUGUAAUGGGAUUGGAGACAAGGUUGCAUAGAAACUGUAAAUGUUUCAACAAGUAAUCACCGGAUGGACCCAAGACAGACAGAUAAAGAAGUGAAUAAAUAGCACGAAGCAAAGAGGCUCAGCGAGGAAGAGCCACCAAACCUUAUUUGGAGAUUUGAAGCCUAAGUCACUGGACACUCAACAGAACUAGAGAAUCCUGGGAGGAAAAUGAACACUCAGAUAAAUGCAUAGUGUAAUGACUCUGGAACUUGUUAGGGGACAGCAGCAGAAGAUACCACAGGUGAUAGUACAAGGCAACCUUCGAGGUGUGAGAAGCCCUAUCACCUUUUGAUGGAAUCCGAGCAGUGUCAACGAUGUAGUUACAGAUGCCAAGAACAAUCGCAGUCACAGUAGCACUGGCUUACUCCAUCAGCAACAAGUUCUUGGACCAUGAGCGACCUAAAUGAUCUUGUCCUGCACUCUUUUCUCUGUAAUUCUUAUUGAAACAACUUCUCUGUAUCCAUGAUAAUCCUUUUCAAAAUUAUUUUUUAGACAAAUAUAGAGUCUGGGGCAUCUCUAUGAGCAAAGUGACAUGUUUCUGUGUUCACAUCACUUCUAUUCCCAUCAAUAUUUCCUGAGGUUUUCUUUUUAAUGAGAUUGUAAAAAAAACAAUAUUGGGAGAACACACAUUAAAAAGGACUGAAAAUUGCACAUUUGAUAAAGAUAAGUGUGUAAUUCUGAGUCAUAAAACAGCCUGUGCUGUAAAUACUAACUUACCCAUUUCAUGUGUCCCAAAUGAGCCAGCUUGGCCCUAGACAGUGACCGACAUUCCAGGCUAUAGAUUAGUCUUCGUCAAUAAUUCAAAGUGUAGAAGUGCCUUGUGUUAGAAUUACUUAGAUUGACUUUUAACAUAGCUUAAAUUAAAUGGUCAAUUGCUUCAUCUUCUAUUUCAUUUGAAGCAAUUUUAGUAAGCCCAAACUUCAACAAAGCAGGAAGAAAACAAAGGGAAUCAGUCAACUAACAAGGUUCUUUCAUCGUCAGAAAAGCCGUCAUCUUAUUAGAAGCACUGACUGGAAGAGAAACUGAGCUUUCCUUGUUCUAAAUAGUAGAGAAAAAUAAUGAGAACAGAAACUAUUAUUGGCCAGAAAGGGUCUUUUUUUUUUGAAGCCUUAUUUGAAUACCAAAAUGGUUAAUAUUUAAUUUGCAAAUGUCUAUAUACAUUGCAAUUCCAUGUAAUACAGAGUAAAAAAUGGUGAACAAUUGGAGUUUGGAGAUGCCUUAAAUUCCGUCUUGCUAUGAGUAAAGCAGGCUAAGGAAGUUCACCCCCAUCGAUAAGAAAAAAACAUGUCUUACUUAAUACAAAUCAAAACUACAGUGCUCUAGAGUCAGGCAAGAUUGAGGGAAAGCUCAUAUCCCAGUGGAGCUGUUGCUGUAAGAAGAUGAUUUUCUUAAUAUUGGCAUGUUCAAUGUCUUAGCUCCCCAGAGAGCUAACUGUCUUCUGGACCUCAAGAAACCAGAUAUUAGUAUAUCCAAUAUAUCAGAUCAAAAAGAAUAUCUGGGAAACUGAAACCUACUGUGUCUGUAUAUUUCGUACAUAGCCCAAGCAGAGCUAUAUUUGAGAUUUAUUUUGUUGAAACAAGACCUACAUAAUGAGAAAAUCAGUUGGCAUGCCAGUGUGGAUGGGGAAGUUUCAUGAGGCCUCACACCUAGAUACAGACCUACAGGCAGUCAAUGGUUGCUAGGAGAGGGAAAAUCAUUCCUCAGUGAUAAACUCCCUGAUAGAAUUUCUAAGUGGUCAGCCUGGAACACAUAUACUUAUGCACAAUAUUAAAUGAAAUCAUGGGUGAUCCACACAUAUUUUAUAUGUAUAUGUAUAUGUGUGUGCAGGUAUAUGCAUAAUUUGUAUAUCUGUGCAUAUGUUUUUAUGUGUGUAACAAUAACAUGAUGGCAUGAAUUUGAGAUGGACUUGGGUACACAGGAGGAGUUGGAGUGAAUAGAAAGGGCAGGGAAAUGAAUACAGUUCCUGUGUAUACAAUUCUCAAACAAGUUUUAGCAAUUACAUUUACAAAAAGAAAGAAUGAAGAAUGAGAAUAUUCUUUACCAUGUUUGUCUCACUGAACUAUUAGUAUCAUUUUGAGUCCAUUCCUUCUUGAAAUGCUUUUUUGACAAAAUAAUUACUUGUAGUAAUUCCCCUGUAUUAAAGAUUAGCAAUGGUCAUUCUUUAGUAGCAGUCAUGAUAUAGAAAACAAAGACUUUUUUGCCAAGGCUCAACAUUUUACAAUCCUGGUGUAUCAAGUCAAAUUUCAUGCUCCUUAUUUAUGCCCUCCCUGUAUAAGAUAUAAUUACAGUAUAUGUCUGUAUCCAAUGUACAUUUAUUAAUUUGUAAACAGAAUGUGCACUGUGUAAUGUAUAGUACAAUGUAUAGAGUGUUGAUUUUACAUGUGUUUAAGUCAAAAUCAAAUUGAAAUCUUUCUCCUUUUUAAAUGCAUAAUUUAAAUGUUUGAAUUAUAAAUUUUAUUUUCCAACUCUCAAAAUCAGUGGUUGUUACAAUUUAAAUGAGGAGAACAUAGAUAUGCUUUAAUGUGUUUUGAAUUAAAGCCUUUGUUAG
ensembl:lncRNA